AGCUACGCCAUGCCCAUACCCACUCCCGGGCUACAGAAGCGGGUGCCCCUCAUUCACUCGACAUUCACUGACAAGAUGGACUAACAGUACCGAUUACAGAAGGGCCAAAACAGCGGUAAACUUCGCCUUAAACUGAAAUGCAGACUACAGCAGAAUUCACGACGCCAAGUUGUGGAAGGAUCGGGGUGUGGUGCAUGCGAGUUUUUCACGCAAGAAAAAUAAGUAUUGAAUGCAGCAGCAUCGUGAAAGCAAAAACAAAAAAAAAAGAAUCCAAGAAUAAAAAAAGCAAUACUGACACAAACAG